rnacentral:lncRNA from 1 species
UCAGUUUAUACUCAAUUAUUGUUACAAUAAUUGUUGCAUAGUAUAUCACGUUAUUGAUUCAUUUAUUGUCACUGUGACGCCCCCAAAAUAGGUAUACAUCACCCAUCUUGAGUCGCCAGAUACAUGGUACUGAAUACAAAUACAAACUAAUAAUACAGCUGCCGUGUAAAAUAUGGCAAAACAUAAUCUAAGAGUUUUAAUAAGAAUAUUGUCAUCUAGACAAUAUCCAUACUCAAUGGAGUCCUCAUUACAUUUAUUAUCACACUAUUUAACAGAAUAGUGAGGACUACUAAUGCUAUCAUCUGGAUCGUUACUCCGUUCCCCGACUAGUCCCGGCUACGUUCUCAUUUCC